AGCAGCCGCGGUAAUUCCAGCUCCAAUAGCGUAUAUUAAAGUUGUUGCAGUUAAAAGCUCGUAGUUGAAUUUCGGGAUCAGUACGCCGGUCGUGCCUUCGGUAUGUACUGGUGUUACUGGUUUCUACCUUCUGACGAACCGUUAUGUCAUUCAUUUGGUGUGGCGGGAAAUCAGGACUGUUACUUUGAAAAAAUUAGAGUGUUUAAAGCAGGCUCGCGCUUGAAUACAUUAGCAUGGAAUAAUGAAAUAGGACGUUUGAUCCUAUUUUGUUGGUUUCUAGGAUCGACGUAAUGAUUAAUAGGGAUAGUUGGGGGCAUUAGUAUUCAAUUGUCAGAGGUGAAAUUCUUGGAUUUAUUGAAGACUAACUACUGCGAAAGCAUUUGCCAAGGAUGUUUUCAUUAAUCAAGAACGAAAGUUAGGGGAUCGAAGACGAUCAGAUACCGUCGUAGUCUUAACCAUAAACUAUGCCGACUAGGGAUCGGAUGAUGUUAAUUUUUAAUGACUCAUUCGGCGCCUUACG
rnacentral:rRNA from 1 species